UGCACAGGAAGGGAGAAUGUUGGGAAAUCCAAGGACAUUUCAAGGUGAGGGAAUGACUGUUUGGAGGCAAACUCGGGACUCGCCUUGUCCUCCUUCUUUGGCAGCAGCUGGCAGGGAAGGGAGAAGAGGUGCCCGUGUGGGACGAGGCUGGAGAGAGCGAGCAGAGGAGCAGCCUCGGGCUGGAGAGGGGCAGGAGAAAGGCAGAGGGACCUCCCUGGUGUCACCAGAGCACCUGUGACAGAAUGGACACUGUGAGGGCAAGUGGAGCCCCAAAUUCCCUGCUGAAUUCCUGCUGGAAUAACCUGACAGUGCCUCAUGGAGUCUGGACACUCCCAUGCAGAGCUGCCACUUGAACAGCAGCUGUGGCAGGAACCAGCAGAGGUUCCAGGACAAGGACAGGUUUAUAUUCCAGAGAAUUUGCUAUUUAUAACCCUCAUCCCCCAGCCCCGUUGAUGUCCCUGGGGGACACUUGACAGAGUUCCCUGGAAUUCAGCUGAUUUCAUCCCCCUGAGUUCAGGCUCCAGUUGAUGUUUUAGAGCAGGAGAAGGCGGUGGCUGGACACGCUCCUGGCCCGUGCUGAGGCAGACCCUGUACCCAGGGGAGGACAUCUCUCCCUGCAGAAGCUGAGUCCAUUUCAGAGCCCCAGGAAGUCCUUUUCCCUCAGGAAAGGGAUGCACAUCCCUGUUUUCAGCACACCUCCAGUGGGACCCACCUGUGAAAGCUUUCCAUCAGUUCUGUGGUUCCAGCUGAUUCCCUGAAAAACUCCAAACUUAAUGCAGACAAAACUUCA